rnacentral:misc_RNA from 1 species
AACGCACAUUGCGCCCAUUAGUAUUCUAGUGGGCAUGCCUGUCCGAGCGUCAUUUCAACCCUCAGACACUUUGUGUCUGGCGUUGGGGCUUCUAUAGCGAUUGCUGUAGGCCCUGAAAAUCAGUGGCGGGCCCGCCGAGAGCCUAAACGCAGUAGUUAUUUUCUCGUUUUUGGCUUCUUGGUGGUUGCCCAGCCGGUAAGCUUCCAAUUUUCAGAAGUUUGACCUCGGAUCAGGUAGGAUUACCCGCUGAACUUAA